rnacentral:miRNA from 1 species
GGAUCUCACUAUGUAGUUUAGGCUGUCCUUGAACUCACUAUGUAGCCCAGGCUGGCCUCGAACUCACAGCAAUUCUCCUGCCUCAGGCUCCUGAGUGCUAGAAUUACAGGUAUGCGCCACCAGGCCC